rnacentral:lncRNA from 1 species
UCGCAUCUUCCAAAUGAUAUAUUAAGUUCCCACUAAAUCCCAAUGCCAAUUGUCACAAAAUUGUCAAUAGAAUCAUCAUUCCAAUUGAAGGAAAUGCAUAGUGCAUCAAGACAAUGAUUAAGCUGUCUAUCCAACGAUCGAGAUUACCAUUUUAUUCAACUAUAAAUCCAGAAUUCAGUAAAUUUUAAGGAAUGUAUGUUCAAAUUCCCUGAAGGAACUUUUCUUGCAUCUGAUCUAUAUUGGAACUAUUCUCGGAUGAAAAAGUAUGAAAUAAUAGAUGAUGAAAUCUUAAUAAAAAGGUAGAGUUUGUAUUUUUGCUAGAGAGAAAGUCUUCUCAAAAUAUGUUCUUAUCAAAUGAAUAUUACAUACCUUUUCCCCUUAUCCCUUUUUCUAUUUAUACAAGUCAUAUUCCUAACAACCCUAACAGUACAGAUCAAGGGAAUAUCCAAGGGAAUAUUCUCUUUAAUAUCUUAUUUCAAAUAGUGAUAGUUGCAGCUGUUGACGCAACAGCCGACCUAGGCCGUGGUCAGCUCCUCGGUCACGAACCUUGGUGCUUCCUAACUGACCUCGGCCAAUCCCUUCCUCGAUGUCGCGUUAUUCCAAUUUUCAUCGUUUCCCGUGCCUCUGCCGUUUCGAUUCCUGAGUUGGGUAACGGCGGUUGGCUUUCUCAAUUCCGAUGCUUGAAUUCUUAUAAAUAGGGAUAUGAAAUCAUUUGUUUUAUCCUUUGCUCUCUAGAUAUUGAAGCUCUACCUUCUUCUUCCUUCUUCAUUCUGAGUUCUUGCCUUCUUGACCCUGCUACUGUAUUUCUGCUCCUCCUGUACUUACAACACCCUUUCUAAAAAAUCAAAAAUAGUCAAUGUAUCUUCUAGUUCCGGGGGGGAGGGCCGUACCUGGCCCUGUCCCAUUGGUUGUGCGCAUGCCUCCUCAUGACGAUGAGGUUGCCAUUGUUGCUGAAGAUGAGAGCUUUCCUACGGUGGAGGAAAUAAUCCCCCGUAGUGAGAAGGUUAGAUCCGAUUUUUCAAAGGUGCCUACGGACGACCCUGAAAUCUCGGAGUUGUUGAUGAAGGAGGUUGGCCUUGCUGAAUUUAGGGAAAAAUUCAAAAUAUAGGGAUUUUCUUUUUAAAAUCAUUCGAUCGAACCUGAUGUGGGUUGCCUACGUAUCAUGUGAAAACAUGAAUCGGAUCUUGCGUAUUUCGUGAAAAUCGAGAAUAUAGUAAAUAACCUAACUCUUUUUUUUGGAUUUUGAAUUUGUUUUUUGAAUUUUAUUUUUAACUUCCGAAAGAAAGACUUAAAAAGAAGAAAGAAAAUAUUUUUGGAUUUAGAUUUGUUUGUUUUUUGUUUUUUGAGAAUUUUUUAAAAGAAUGACUUCUAAAGAAGAAAGAAAGUAUAUUUCUUUUUUGAAUUUCGCUUCUUUUUUUUUUUGUUGGGGUGGGGGGGGGGGGAUUUCUAAAGAAAAACUAAUAAAGAAAAAAGGAAAUAUUUUUGGAUUUUUAAACUUUUGUUUUGAAUUUAUGAAAGAAAACCUUCUAAAGAAAAAGAAAAUAUUUUUGAAUCUUGAAUUUUCUUUUCAAUUUUCGAAAAAAUGAAAAUAUUUUUGGCUUUUUUUUUUGUUUUUCGAAAGUUUUGAAAGAAAGACUUCUAAAGAAGAAAGAAAAUAUUUUUUGUAUUUUUGAUUUUUUUUUUUUUGAGUUUUUGGGAAAAAGGCUUCUAAAAACAGGUAGAGAAUAUUUUUUUGGAUUUUGAUUUGAUUUUCUUUUCGAAUGAAAAACUUCUAAGAUGAAAGAAAAUAUUUUUGGUUUUAAAUUUUUUUUAAUUUGCGAUUUUCUAAAGAAAGACUUCUAAAGAAUGAAUUAAAGGAAAAAAAUUUUAUUUGGAUUUUUGAAAAUUGGGGUCUCAAAGAAAGACUUUUCUAAAGAAGGAAGUAAAGGAAAAUAUUUUUGGAUUUUUGAAAAUUGGGGGCCGAAACCGAUGAGGUUUGCCUACGUAUCUCACAUCCGGUGAGAAUCAGACUCGCGUAGUUCGGUCAAUUUGGCGGAACAGAGAAAACAUUUUUUUUUUAAAACAUUGGCUUAUUUUUUCUUCUUUUUUUUUCAAAAAUUUGGCAAAGUUUCAAAGCAUUUUCAAAUAUCGGGGUUUUCAGAAUUGGGUGAAUUUUCUAUCCUACCUCUCUUGGUUUUCUGUCGUUUUUAUUUUCUUAACCGGUCAACAAACAAGCCGAAACAAAUAAAUGCACACGUAGCAGGUAAGAUGCAUCAGGAUGGUCUUUUGUUUCGGGUAAACAUGUCCUAGACGGACCCAACCCAUGUGUUGAGUUCCCUAAGUCAAAAGCACGUGAUACAAACAAGCGCUCCUACUAGGGAUCUGGCAUGAGGUUUUGCAAUUCUAGGUUUAAACAUGAGGAUGUGUUCUAGAUAUGGCUUACCCAAGCGGACAACUUGAGCCGAGGUGGGAGCGACGUACCGGGAGCACGAAAGUCUACUCGUCCUAGUGGCUGAUCCAUCCUCGUUCUAUUUGGUACGACCUCUAACAGAAAAGCGGGCCACGCGUACGUGUGCACCAUAUUUUUAGAAGACUCGGAAGGGAGGCGUAAGAAGGCAGUUUAAUACAAUUCAAAUAAUAUUAAAGCGGUAAUGAGCGGCAAUUAGCACAUUACGCUCACAAACACAGUAAUUUCAACAUACAAUAAAGCCAAGUACAUAUUAAAUUACAAGCUCGAAUUCUGAACCCUGAACCAAAUAUUCUGGGUUCUUUCCCCAGCAGAGUCGCCAGAGCGGUCAUACCUCCUUUUUCCCGAAAAGGGGCAUAAGGGAUAAAGGAGUUUUUUCAAUUUAAGUGACAAUUUUUAUUUAUUCAGAGUCGCCACUUGGGAUAAUUUAUGGUGUCCCAAGUCACCGGCUUAUUUAAAAUCCCAAAUCAAGGAAAAUUGACUCUGUUUAAAAGUCUGCGAAACCAAACGACCGGGUAAGGAAUUAUGUUAACCAGGGAGAAGGUGUUAGACAUUCCCAAGUUUUGUGGUUUUAAUUGCUUGAUUAUUCGUAAUUAUGGAAUUAUCUUGAAACUGGUCAUGCGUACCUGACUCUAAAUUUGAUUCCAAAAGAGGGUGGUCAAAGAAAAUAACACCAGCUCAGAAGGGGUAACGAAUGGUGUAAAGUGUUUAGGUAGCAGAAAAAGGGCCUCCUAGCCUCGAGAAUGCCAAUUAUAGUAUCCUUUCAUGAUCACAACAUUGAUGAGCAUGUGUGUCUUCUUGGUGUGUCGUGGUCGAAAGACACUUCCCAUCCAUUAAAUGUCAAGCUUUUGACCAAGCUUCAAUUGAUUAAACAUCUUUAAACCCGAUCUUCACGAUGAUUUGAAGGUUAAUUUACUCGACCUUAAUUCCAAAGUAUUUCAACUCUUUAUUCAUCCUCAAAAGUGUCUUGUUCUCAGUCAUCCAAUUCAAACUUAAAUCAAUUUUCUAAGAUCUGGCCAAAAAUUCCGCAUGCAUGUCAUAUCACUAAAACUAGCGGGAAAGAACUAAGCAUGGAAUGACACAAAAGGACAAACUGUAUUUCAUUGAGUAAACAACAAGACAAAAAAACUAAAAUCUGAGUUACAACCGUAAAAUAACCCGGAUAAUAAAAAUAGCAAUAAAACAGACAGACAAGACUGACACAAACAGAAUAGAGGGAUAGAAGGGUUUGACUAAUUAAAACAAAUAAAAUCUGGAUCACAACCCUGAAAUAACCCAGAUAAUAGAAAAAACAUCAAAGCAAGCUACCAAGAUUCCUUCCUAGUGGGGAGGGAAGGACUUUCCAAUUGCUAAGCUUGACAUUUAGCCACAAAGUUGCUCAUCAGAAUAAUUAUGGCCUUCUUCAAUUUCAGUCGGCAAGUUCCGGAGAGGAUUCUCAUACUCCAUGUUACCACGCAUCAUCCCCACAAAGUGUGCAUUAUCAUGUGCAUGUAAAGGAUUCUGCGUGAUAUUCUGGGUAUCACUGUCUUGGAUCACAAUAAGUUUUUCAUGGAUCAUCAUUUCUAUUUCUCUUUUCAAAUCCCGACAGCUUUCAACAUUGUGCCCCUGGGCAUUGGAAUGGCAUUCACACCUUUUAGAAGGGUCAAAGCUUCUUGCACGUGGGUCCACAUGAUUUGGAGGGAUAGUUGCAAUCAUGUCAUAAUUUAAUUUCUCAAACAAGCUUGCAUAUGACUCUCCUAUUGGUGUAAAAUUAUCUUUCAACCUUUGCUCCCCUCUAUACCCCUGGCUUGGAUGUGGGUUAUAGGGCACUUGAAAAUUUUGUGGAGGCUGGUGGAAAUUUUGCGGUGCUGGUGCUCGCCUUCCGAGGUGUCUUGGUGGCUGGACAACAUACUAAGGUAGACCAACAAAAUAUUGUGGGUUUUGAGGUGGAUAGUAGUGCUCAGGGGAGUCAUGGGAAACCUGAUGAAGCUGCCCAUACCUUCGAGAUCUUCUCCUAGGACCUCUUCUCAACCCUGAUGUCAUCAUGGUUUCUUCAUCCUUCUCAUUCGUGUCACUAAAAUUAACAGAUUCAAUUUGGACAGCUUGAGUUGCGGCUUUAAUAACUGCUUGACUUAUAAUUUUGCUUGUCUUAAGACCAUUCUCAACCAUUUCCCCCAUUUUGAUUGCUUUCGAGAAGGACUUGCCAACUGCGGAUAUCAUGUUUUGAAAAUAAUCUAGCUCUUGAGCCUGAAGGAAGACAGUGAUUAGCUCGUGGUCAUCUAUGGGUAGCUUAACUCUAGUCGCUUGCUCUCUCCAUUUAAUGGCAUAUUCCCUGAAACUUUCAGUUGGUUUCUUCUUUAUGUUUGAAAGGGAAUUGCGGUCUGGGGCGAUGCAGAUAUUGUAUUGGAAUUGUUUUCCAAAGGCCCGGGCCAUGUCAUCCCAGACGUACCAGCGAGAUGUGUCUUGAUCCAUAAGCCAUUCGGAGGCUACUCCCGUAAGGCUUUCCCCAAAAUAAGCCAUUAGCAAUUCUUCAUUUCUUCCUACACCUCUUAGCUGAUUGCAAUACCUUUUCAGGUGGGCUAUGGAGUAUCCAUGUCCAUCAUAUUUUUAAAAUUUGGGAGUCUUGAAACCAAGUGGUAAACAAACAUCGGGGAACAUACAUAGAUCCUUGAAGGCAAUUCUUUUCUGACCUGCCAACCCUUGCAUGUUUUUCAACUGUCGUUCUAAGCUAUUCACUCUUUGGGUCAUUUCUUCAUGUGUCGUCUUUCAGGCAGGCUUUUCAAUCUUUGCAGGAAGAUCAAACAGGUACGAGUGGUACUUAGGAGAGUGGUAAUGUUCUUGGUGGGUAGCAAAUUGUGACUCGUGAGUGUUCCUUUGCACCACCGUCGGCUGUGGGAUGGUGAAGACGGGCAUAACAGUAGUGGUUGUCUGAUUGGUUGUCAAUGGAACACUUUGGGAGCACGCAACAGAAGUUCCAGCUGUAGUCGUACAGUUGGGAUAAGGACUGAACCCAAGUGGAUAGGAUUGAUCAGGCAAUGAAACCGGAAUGGCAGUAGUCGAGAUGGGUGUGAACUCUGGGAAACCAUGAGAAGAAAAGGGCAGUCCUUGGCCGUUGGCCCAUGCUUGACACAUUUCAAUCAUUUUCUGUUUCAAUACUCUAUUUUCCUCAACCAUGGUAGACACUUGUUGAACCCUCUGACCCUGAGUCUUAUGACCGCUCGUAACAGCUUUGAUGUCAGUUGUCAUUUUUCCCUUGAAUUUUGUGUUGUCGGCUUACCACAAACCGACCACCUCAAACGUUUUUCACAAUUCAAAACAAAAGACACGUUAGAAUGGACUCAGUCGGUCCUUAUUAUUAUCAUUUUUCUUCUUCUUUUUUUCACCUCUUUUUUUUUCUUUUUGAAAUCAUUCAAUCGAACGUGAUGUGGGUUGCCUACGUAUCAUGUGAGAACAUGAAUCAGAUCUUGUGUAGUUCGGAAAAUAGAGAAUAAAGUAAAUAACAUAACUCUUUUUUUUGGAUUUUGAAUUUUUUUUAACUUCCGAAAGAAAGACUUAAAAAGAAGAAAGAAAAUAUUUUUUGAUUUAGAUUUUUUUUUUUUUGAGAAUUUUUGAAAAG